rnacentral:rRNA from 1 species
GACGAACGCUGGCGGCGUGCCUAAUACAUGCAAGUCGAGCGAAGUUUUUCUGGUGCUUGCACUAGAAAAACUUAGCGGCGAACGGGUGAGUAACACGUAAAGAACCUGCCUCAUAGACGGGGACAACUAUUGGAAACGAUAGCUAAUACCGGAUAACAGCAUAAAUCGCAUGAUAUAUGUUUAAAAGUUGGUUUCGGCUAACACUAUGAGAUGGCUUUGCGGUGCAUUAGCUAGUUGGUGGGGUAAAGGCCUACCAAGGCGACGAUGCAUAGCCGACCUGAGGGGGUGAUCGGCCACACUGGGACUGAGACACGGCCCAGACUCCUACGGGAGGCAGCAGUAGGGAAUCUUCCGCAAUGGGCGAAAGCCUGACGGAGCAACGCCGCGUGAGUGAAGAAGGAUUUCGGUUCGUAAAGCUCUGUUGUUAGGGAAGAAUGAUUGUAUAGUAACUAUAUACAGUAGAGACGGUACCUAACCAGAAAGCCACGGCUAACUACGUGCCAGCAGCCGCGGUAAUACGUAGGUGGCAAGCGUUGUCCGGAAUUAUUGGGCGUAAAGCGCGCGCAGGUGGUUUAAUAAGUCUGAUGUGAAAGCCCACGGCUCAACCGUGGAGGGUCAUUGGAAACUGUUAAACUUGAGUGCAGGAGAGAAAAGUGGAAUUCCUAGUGUAGCGGUGAAAUGCGUAGAGAUUAGGAGGAACACCAGUGGCGAAGGCGGCUUUUUGGCCUGUAACUGACACUGAGGCGCGAAAGCGUGGGGAGCAAACAGG